UUGCUCAACAGAUGGCUGCGAGGAUACUACAGGGCUAGAGGCGGGAAGAGGCUAGCGGUACUCAGUGGUAGGGGUAAAAUCCACUGAUCCACUGAGACACCAGUGGCGAAAGUCGGCUUGCCAGAACGCGCUCGACGUGAGGGAUGAAAGCUGGGGGAGCAAACCCGGAUUAGAUACCCGGGUAGUCCCAGCUGUAAACGAUGCAGACUCGGUGAUGGGCUAGCUUUGAGCCAGCCCAGUGCCGCAGGGAAGCCGUUAAGUCUGCCGCCUGGGGAGUACGGUCGCAAGACUGAAACUUACAGGAAUUGGCGGGGGAGCACCACAAGGGGUGAAGCCUGCGGUUCAAUUGGAGUCAACGCCGGAAAUCUUACCGGGGGCGACAGCAGAGUGAAGGUCAAGCUGAAGACUUUACCAGACAAGCUGAGAGGAGGUGCAUGGCCGUCGCCAGCUCGUGCCGUGAGGUGUCCUGUUAAGUCAGGUAACGAGCAAGAUCCCUGCUUCUAGUUGCUACCACCGUUCUCAGGAACGGAGGGGCUAAUUAGAGGGACCGCCGCCGCUGAGGCGGAGGAAGGAGGGGGCUACGGCAGGUCAGUAUGCCCCGAAACCCUCGGGCCACACGCGGGCUGCAAUGGUAGGGACAGCGGGCUCCGAUUCCGAAAGGAGGAGGCAAUCCCUCAAACCCUACCCCAGUUAUGAUUGAGGGCUGAAACUCGCCCUCAUGAAUAUGGAAUCCCUAGUAACCGCGUGUCACUAUCGCGCGGUGAAUACGUCCCUGAUCCUUGCACUCACCCCCGUC
rnacentral:rRNA from 1 species